UACGUAGGCAGCAAGCGUUGUUCGGAAUUACUGGGCGUAAAGAGUGUGUAGGCGGUUUUCUAAGUUCGGUGUGAAAUCUCCCGCUUAACUGGGAGGGUGCGCCGAAAACUGGAAGGCUUGAGUGCCGGAGAGGAUAGCGGAAUUCCCGGUGUAGCGGUGAAAGUGCGUAGAUAUCGGGAGGAACACCUGUGGUGUAGACGGCUAUCUGGACGGCCACUGACGCUGAGACACGAAAGCGUGGGUAGCAAACAGG
rnacentral:rRNA from 1 species